rnacentral:rRNA from 1 species
UUCUGGUUGAUCCUGCCGGAGGCUACCGCUAUUGGAGUUCGAUUAAGCCAUGCGAGUCGAGAGUCUUAGGGACUCGGCGUACCGCUCAGUAACACGUGGGUAACCUGCCCUAUGCUGGGGAAUAACCUCGGGAAACUGAGAAUAAUACCCCAUAGUUCACCACGCCUGGAACGGUGGGUGGAUGAAAGCUCCGGCGGCAUAGGAUGGGCCUGCGACGUAUCAGGUUGUAGGGGGUGUAACGUACCCUCUAGCCAUCAACGCGUACGGGUGUUGGGAGACAUAGCCCGGAGAUGGAUUCUGAGACACGAAUCCAGACCCUACGGGGUGCAGCAGGCGCGAAAACUUGGCAAUGCGAGCAAUCGUGACCAGGGAACUCCAAGUGGCUGGGGUAAUACCCAGUUUUUUCUUGACUCUUCAAAGGUCUUGGAAUAAGGGGUGGGUAAGGACGGUGCCAGCCGCCGCGGUAAUACCGGCGCCUCAAGUGGUAGUCGCUUUUAUUGGGCCUAAAACGUCCGUAGCCGGUCUGGUGCAUUCGUGGGUAAAUCAACCCGCUCAACGGGUUGAAUUCUGCGAACACGGCCAGACUUGGGACCGGGAGAGGUGUGGGGUACUCUCAGGGUAGGGGUAAAAUCCUGUCAUCCUGAGAGGACCACCUGUUGCGAAGGCGCCACACUAGAACGGAUUCGACGGUCAGGGACGAAACCUAGGGGCACGAACCGGAUUAGAUACCCGGGUAGUCCUAGGUGUAAACGCUGUGGACUUGAUGUUGGGGGUGCUCCGAGCACUCUCAGUGUCGAAGCGAAGGUGAUAAGUCCACUGUCUGGGGAGUACGGUCGCAAGGCUGAAACUUAAAGGAAUUGGCGGGGGAGCACUGCAACCUGAGGAUUGUGCGGUUUAAUUGGACUCAACGCCGGGA